UACGGGAGCAGCAGUCGAGAAUCUUCCGCAAUGGGCGCAAGCCUGACGGAGCGACGCCGCGUGAAGGAUGACGGCCCUCGGGUUGUAAACUUCUGUCAGUCGAGAAGAACGUCCAAGGUGACCCCUGGGACUGACGUUAUCGACAGAGGAAGCCACGGCUAACUUCGUGCCAGCAGCCGCGGUAAUACGAAGGUGGCAACCGUUGCUCGGAUUUACUGGGCAUAAAGCGCGCGUAGGCGGUUACGCAAGUCAUCGGUGAAAUCCUCCGGCCCAACCGGAGAAUAGCCGCUGAAACUGCGUAACUUGAGUACGGGAGGGGAGAGUGGAACUCUUGGUGUAGCGGUGAAAUGCGUAGAUAUCAAGAGGAACGCCGGUGGCGAAAGCGACUCUCUGGACCGUAACUGACGCUGAGGUGCGAAAGCUAGGGGAGCAAACAGGAUUAGAUACCCUGGUAG
rnacentral:rRNA from 1 species